rnacentral:tRNA from 1 species
ACUCUUUUAGUAUUAAUCAGUACAACUGACUUCCAAUCAGUUAGUUCCGACAAACCCCGGAAAAGAGUA